rnacentral:rRNA from 1 species
GGGGAAUAUUGCGCAAUGGGGGAAACCCUGACGCAGCAAUACCGCUUGAGUGAAGAAGGUUUUCGGAUCGUAAAGCUCUGUUAUUGGGGAAGAAAAAAAGACGGUACCCAAGAAGAAAGUCCCGGCUAACUACGUGCCAGCAGCCGCGGUAAUACGUAGGGGACAAGCGUUGUCCGGAUUUACUGGGCGUAAAGGGCACGCAGGCGGUUUUUUAAGUCAGAUGUGAAAGGUACCGGCUCAACUUGGGUGCUGCAUUCCAAACUGGGUGUCUAGAGUGUUGGAGAGGAAAGUGGAAUUCCUAGUGUAGCGGUGAAAUGCGUAGAGAUUAGGAAGAACACCAGUGGCGAAGGCGACUUUCUGGACAAUAACUGACGCUGAGGCUCGAAAGCGUGGGGAGCAAACA